AUGACCUACUCUGGGCACUACGAAAGUAGUAGUAGGAACAAACAACGGCCUGAAGAGAAAGAAACUAGGAAGAACAGACUUAAAAGAGAAAUGGAAGAUUUAUACAUAUCCGUAUUAACUGAUAUGGCAAGAUCGCAGCCAUCAUUCAGAUAUACCACUACGCACACUUGUCUUAGUUUAGGACAAUCUGUUUUGGGUCGCGUGCGGUGUGCAGUGCAUCUGCAUCACAAGUGUUUGGUAGUUUCAGGGUCUGCUGCCUUGCACAGAAAAAAUCAGUGGAAGAAAGGAAAAAAUAAAAUCCAAGCAAAUGCGGGCAAGUAG
rnacentral:rRNA from 1 species